AUUGAACGCUGGCGGCAGGCCUAACACAUGCAAGUCGAACGAGUGGCGGACGGGUGAGUAAUGUAUGGGAAACUGCCAGAUGGAGGGGGAUAACUACUGGAAACGGUAGCUAAUACCGCAUACUAUCAGAUGUGCCCAGAUGUGAUUAGCUUGUUGGUGGGGUAACGGCUCACCAAGGCGACGAUCCCUAGCUGGUCUGAGAGGAUGACCAGACACACUGGAAUCGAGACACGGUCCAGACACCUACGGGAGGCAGCAGUGGGAAAGAUUGCACAAUGGGCGCAAGCCUGAUGCAGCCAUGCCGCGUGUAUGAAGAAGGCCUUCGGGUUGUAAAGUACUUUCAGCGGGGAGGCGUUACCCGCAGAAGAAGCACCGGCUAACUCCGUGCCAGCAGCCGCGGUAAUUC
rnacentral:rRNA from 1 species